rnacentral:rRNA from 1 species
GAUGAACGCUGGCGGCGUGCUUAAUGCAUGCAAGUCGAACGAGAACCGUUUUUGUAGGUAACUACAGAGAGACUUCUAGUGGCGAACGGGUGAGUAACACGUGAGAAACCUGCCCCGAAGACCGGGAUAGCCCAUGGAAACGUGGAUUAAUACCGGAUACCCUCACGGAAUCGCAUGGUUCUGUGAGGAAAUGCUCCGGCGCUUUGGGAUGGUCCCGCGGCCUAUCAGCUUGUCGGUGAGGUAACGGCUCACCAAGGCACUGACGGGUAGCUGGUCUGAGAGGACGAUCAGCCACACUGGGACUGAGACACGGCCCAGACUCCUACGGGAGGCAGCAGCAGGGAAUAUUGCACAAUGGGCGCAAGCCUGAUGCAGCGACGCCGCGUGAGGGAUGAAGGCUUUCGGGUUGUAAACCUCUUUCAGUGGGGAAGAAGCGCAAGUGACGGUACCCACACAAGAAGGCCCGGCCAACUACGUG